GCAGGAAUGGCAGAGUGGUGAUGCAACCGGCUGCAGACCGGUUCAGGAAAGUUCGAUUCUUUCUUCCUGCU
rnacentral:tRNA from 1 species